rnacentral:lncRNA from 1 species
GGAUUUGGUUGGCUUGAUAGACGCCUGAAGCCACUCUUAUCUUUCAUCCCUUCUCUUUUUUGGUUUUGGUCUUGUUUUCCUUCCCUCACAUUACUCCUGAUCCAGCUGGGCCAUCCGGAAGAAAGAUAGGGGGAUCGGAGAUGGACUUCUUGGAGGGUGGAGAUUUUUUUAGUUUUCUCCUCUCGGUUUCUUCUCCCCUCUUGGGUGGUAGAGAGGACCGCCUGCUCAAUCAAAACCGGGGCUUUCUAGAAAAGGAGGGAGGGGGUUGAAUGGCUGCUGUGCUGUGAUGUUGCAGUUGCCGCUUGGGUACUUACUUGAAUGGGAGAUGGUGGGAUGGGAUGAAUUUCCCAUAAUGACCCUACUUUCUCUUAUAGAGAGGUUCCUUUAUGGACAAAUUCUUUUCUUUA